CCUACGGGGGGCUGCAGUGGGGAAUAUUGGACAAUGGGCGAAAGCCUGAUCCAGCCAUGCCGCGUGUGUGAAGAAGGCCUUCGGGUUGUAAAGCACUUUCAGUGGGGAAGAAAGCCUUGGGGCUAAUACCCUCGAGGAAGGACAUCACCCACAGAAGAAGCACCGGCUAACUCCGUGCCAGCAGCCGCGGUAAUACGGAGGGUGCGAGCGUUAAUCGGAAUUACUGGGCGUAAAGCGCGCGUAGGCGGUCUGAUAAGCCGGUUGUGAAAGCCCCGGGCUCAACCUGGGAACGGCAUCCGGAACUGUCAGGCUAGAGUGCAGGAGAGGAAAGUAGAAUUCCCGGUGUAGCGGUGAAAUGCGUAGAGAUCGGGAGGAAUACCAGUGGCGAAGGCGGCCUUCUGGACUGACACUGACGCUGAGGUGCGAAAGCGUGGGUAGCAAACAGGAUUAGAUACCCGAGUAGUC
rnacentral:rRNA from 1 species